rnacentral:rRNA from 1 species
CAGCAACGCUGCGGUGAAUACGUUCCCGGGCCUUGUACACACCGCCCGUCAAGUCAUGAAAGUUGGUAACACCCGAAGCCGGUGGCCUAACCGUUGUGGGGGAGCCGUCGAAGGUGGGACUGGUGAUUAGGACUAAGUCGUAACAAGGUAGCCGUAUCGGAAGGUGCGGCUGGAUCACCUCCUUUCUAAGGAG